rnacentral:rRNA from 1 species
ACGCACGCUGGCGGCGUGCUUCACCCCUGCCAGUCGAACGGAAAGGCCCUGCCUUUGUGGGGUGCUCGAGUGGCGAACGGGUGAGUAACACGUGAGUAACCUGCCCUUGACUUUGGGAUAACUUCAGGAAACUGGGGCUAAUACCGGAUAGGAGCUCCUGCUGCAUGGUGGGGGUUGGAAAGUUUCGGCGGUUGGGGAUGGACUCGCGGCUUAUCAGCUUGUUGGUGGGGUAGUGGCUUACCAAGGCUUUGACGGGUAGCCGGCCUGAGAGGGUGACCGGCCACAUUGGGACUGAGAUACGGCCCAGACUCCUACGGGAGGCAGCAGUGGGGAAUAUUGCACAAUGGGCGGAAGCCUGAUGCAGCAACGCCGCGUGCGGGAUGACGGCCUUCGGGUUGUAAACCGCUUUCGCCUGUGACGAAGCGUGAGUGACGGUAAUGGGUAAAGAAGCACCGGCUAACUACGUG